GGGAAUGAUGAUGUCUCAGACUAGAAUCUCUAACACUGGUCCUAAUGUCAAAAAUUAAGUUUUAGGGAGUUCCC
ensembl:snoRNA